GACGAACGCUGGCGGCGUGCUUAACACAUGCUAGUCGAACGGAAAGGCCCUGCUUUUGUGGGGUGCUCGAGUGGCGAACGGGUGAGUAACACGUGUGUAACCUGCCCUUGACUUUGGGAUAACUUCAGGAAACUGGGGCUAAUACCGGAUAGGAGCUCCUGCUGCAUGGUGGGGGUUGGAAAGUUUCGGCGGUUGGGGAUGGACUCGCGGCUUAUCAGCUUGUUGGUGGGGUAGUGGCUUACCAAGGCUUUGACGGGUAGCCGGCCUGAGAGGGUGACCGGCCACAUUGGGACUGAGAUACGGCCCAGACUCCUACGGGAGGCAGCAGUGGGGAAUAUUGCACAAUGGGCGGAAGCCUGAUGCAGCAACGCCGCGUGCGGGAUGACGGCCUUCGGGUUGUAAACCGCUUUCGCCUGUGACGAAGCGUGAGUGACGGUAAUGGGUAAAGAAGCACCGGCUAACUACGUG
rnacentral:rRNA from 1 species